GAUGAACGCUGGCGGCGUGCCUAAUACAUGCAAGUCGAGCGAACAGACGAGGAGCUUGCUCCUCUGACGUUAGCGGCGGACGGGUGAGUAACACGUGGAUAACCUACCUAUAAGACUGGGAUAACUUCGGGAAACCGGAGCUAAUACCGGAUAAUAUAUUGAACCGCAUGGUUCAAUAGUGAAAGACGGUUUUGCUGUCACUUAUAGAUGGAUCCGCGCCGCAUUAGCUAGUUGGUAAGGUAACGGCUUACCAAGGCAACGAUGCGUAGCCGACCUGAGAGGGUGAUCGGCCACACUGGAACUGAGACACGGUCCAGACUCCUACGGGAGGCAGCAGUAGGGAAUCUUCCGCAAUGGGCGAAAGCCUGACGGAGCAACGCCGCGUGAGUGAUGAAGGUCUUCGGAUCGUAAAACUCUGUUAUUAGGGAAGAACAAAUGUGUAGGUAACUAUGCACGUCUUGACGGUACCUAAUCAGAAAGCCACGGCUAACUACGU
rnacentral:rRNA from 1 species